GGAGUAGUGGCUAGGUGGUAGAGCACUUGCCUGGCAUGUGUGAGGCCCUGAGUUCAAUCCUCAGCACUGCA
rnacentral:tRNA from 1 species